GGGCCCGGGAGGCUUCGCCGUCACCCUGCCGUUCUCCAGAGACGUCCACACCCGUGGGCACAGCAGCACUGGAAACAAGAAGAGAGAGUUAUGGAAAGGCAUGAAGCGAGCAGCAGCGGAGAAUUUGUAGCAGCAGACAGCAUCAUUUUCAACCCCCACAACUGGCUGCUUCUUCAACACGCGUCGAGGCUUCUGUUGAAAUCGGUUUUGGAGACGGCGACAGUGAACGCUGCACAGUAUGUGACACUUUCCUUUGUAUAAAGAGUAAACAGGGAGGGUGGUGAAGCACUGUCAAAACAACUGGGAUUUCAUUUCAGCGUAAGUGUGGUUUUAAUUUAAUGCUGAUUAAGCAGACAUGACACUUAAGAAAGAGCUGAUUAUUGUGCGCAAGAUCUGUCUG